rnacentral:rRNA from 1 species
AACGCGAAGAACCUUACCUAGGCUUGACAUGCAUGGGAAAGCCUCGAGAAACCGAGGCCCCUCUUCGGAGUCCAUGCACAGGUGCUGCAUGGCUGUCGUCAGCUCGUGUCGUGAGAUGUUGGGUUAAGUCCCGCAACGAGCGCAACCCCCGUUUCUAGUUGCCAGCGCGUCAUGGCGGGGACUCGUAGGAGACUGCCGGGGUCAACUCGGAGGAAGGUGGGGUCGAAGUCAAGUCAUCAUGCCCCUUACGUCCAGGGCUGCACACAUGCUACAAUGGCCGGUACAACGGGCUGCUAUUCCGCGAGGAGGAGCCAAUCCCUAAAGCCGGUCUCAGUUCGGAUUGGAGUCUGCAACUCGACUCCAUGAAGUCGGAGUCGCUAGUAAUCCCGGAUCAGCAACGCCGGGGUGAAUACGUUCCCGGGCCUUGUACACACCGAUAGC